rnacentral:rRNA from 1 species
GAUGAACGCUGGCGGCGUGCCUAAUACAUGCAAGUCGAGCGAACGGACGAGAAGCUUGCUUCUCUGAUGUUAGCGGCGGACGGGUGAGUAACACGUGGAUAACCUACCUAUAAGACUGGGAUAACUUCGGGAAACCGGAGCUAAUACCGGAGAAUAUUUUGAACCGCAUGGUUCAAAAGUGAAAGACGGUCUUGCUGUCACGUAUAGAUGGAUCCGCGCUGCAUUAGCGAGUUGGUAAGGUAACGGCUUACCAAGGCAACGAUGCAUAGCCGACCUGAGAGGGUGAUCGGCCACCCUGGAGCUGGGCCACGGUCCAGACGCCUACGGGAGGCCGCAGUAGGCAAUCUUCCGCACUGGUCGAAAGCCUUGCGGAGCAACGCCGCGUGAGUUAUGACGGUCUUCGGAUCGUAAAACUCUGUUAUUAGUGAAGAACAUAUGUGUACGUUACUGUGCACAUCUUGACGGUACCUAGUCAGAAAGCCACGGCUAACUACGUG